GACAGAGGUGCCGAGCGUUAGGCGGAAUCACUGGGCUUAAAGCGUGUGUAGGCGGAUCGUUAAGUACCUUGUGAAAUCCCACGGCUCAACCGUGGAACUGCUGGGUAUACUGGCGGUCUUGAGCCACCUAGGGGCGAGCGGAACAAGCGGUGGAGCGGUGAAAUGCGUAGAUAUCGCUUGGAACGCCAACGGUGAAAACAGCCCGCUGGGGGUGUGCUGACGCUGAGACACGAAAGCCAGGGGAGCGAACGGG
rnacentral:rRNA from 1 species